rnacentral:rRNA from 1 species
UCGGUCCUACGGGGCGCAGCAGUGGGGAAUAUUGCACAAUGGGGGAAACCCUGAUGCAGCAACGCCGCGUGAGUGAAGAAGUAUUUCGGUAUGUAAAGCUCUAUCAGCAGGGAAGAGAAUGACGGUACCUGACUAAGAAGCCCCGGCUAACUACGUGCCAGCAGCCGCGGUAAUACGUAGGGGGCGAGCGUUAUCCGGAUUUACUGGGUGUAAAGGGAGCGUAGACGGUUCUGCAAGUCUGAUGUGAAAGGCCAGGGCUCAACCCUGGGACUGCAUUGGAAACUGUUUAACUGGAGUGUCGGAGG